GCCCGGGUGGCGGAAUGGUAGACGCAGAGGAUUCAAAAUCCUCCGCCUAAUAAGCGUGAGAGUUCGAGUCUCUCCUCGGGCACCA
rnacentral:tRNA from 2 species